GAUGAACGCUGGCGGCGUGCUUAACACAUGCAAGUCGAACGGUGAAGGCGGAGCUUGCUCUGCUGGAUCAGUGGCGAACGGGUGAGUAACACGUGAGCAAUCUGCCCCUGACUCUGGGAUAAGCGCUGGAAACGGCGUCUAAUACUGGAUACGAGCUGCGAAGGCAUCUUCAGCAGCUGGAAAGAACUUCGGUCAGGGAUGAGCUCGCGGCCUAUCAGCUUGUUGGUGAGGUAAUGGCUCACCAAGGCGUCGACGGGUAGCCGGCCUGAGAGGGUGACCGGCCACACUGGGACUGAGACACGGCCCAGACUCCUACGGGAGGCAGCAGUGGGGAAUAUUGCACAAUGGGCGCAAGCCUGAUGCAGCAACGCCGCGUGAGGGACGACGGCCUUCGGUUGUAACCGUCUUUAGCUAGGGAAGAAGACGAAGUGACGGUACCUGCAAGAAAAGCGACCGGCUAACGUACGU
rnacentral:rRNA from 1 species